rnacentral:tRNA from 1 species
GCCUGGGUGGCUCAGUCAGUUGAGCGUCUGACUUCGGCUCAGGUCAUGAUCUCACGGUCUGUGAGUUCGAGCCUCGCGUCGGGCU